rnacentral:rRNA from 1 species
GACGAACGCUGGCGGCGUGCCUAAUACAUGCAAGUCGAGCGCAGGAAAUCGACGGAACCCUUCGGGGGGAAGUCGACGGAAUGAGCGGCGGACGGGUGAGUAACACGUAAAGAACCUGCCCUCAGGUCUGGGAUAACCACGAGAAAUCGGGGCUAAUACCGGAUGGGUCAUCGGACCGCAUGGUCCGAGGAUGAAAGGCGCUUCGGCGUCGCCUGGGGAUGGCUUUGCGGUGCAUUAGCUAGUUGGUGGGGUAAUGGCCCAACAAGGCGACGAGCAAAGGCCAGCCGGGGAGGGUGACUGGCAACACUGGGACUAGGACACGGCCAAGACUCCAACGGGAGGAAGCAGUAGGGAAUCUUCCACAAGGGACGAAAGUCUGAUGGAGCAACGCCGCGUGAACGAUGAAGGCCUUCGGGUCGUAAAGUUCUGUUGUAAGGGAAGAACAAGUGCCGCAGGCAAUGGCGGCACCUUGACGGUACCUUGCGAGAAAGCCACGGCUAACUACGUGCCAGCAGCCGCCGUAA